AUCCUGGCUCAGAUUGAACGCUGGCGGAAUGCUUUACACAUGCAAGUCGAACGGCAGCACGGGGCAACCUGGUGGCGAGUGGCGAACGGGUGAGUAAUACAUCGGAACGUGCCCAAUCGUGGGGGAUAACGUAGCGAAAGUUACGCUAAUACCGCAUACGAUCUACGGAUGAAAGCGGGGGAUCGCAAGACCUCGCGCGAGUGGAGCGGCCGAUGUCAGAUUAGGUAGUUGGUGGGGUAAAGGCUCACCAAGCCAACGAUCUGUAGCUGGUCUGAGAGGACGACCAGCCACACUGGAACUGAGACGCGGUCCAGACUCCUACGGGAGGCAGCAGUGGGGAAUUUUGGACAAUGGGCGCAAGCCUGAUCCAGCCAUUCCGCGUGCAGGAUGAAGGCCUUCGGGUUGUAAACUGCUUUUGUACGGAACGAAACGGCGAGCUCUAAUACAGUUUGCUAAUGACGGUACCGUAAGAAUAAGCACCGGCUAACUACGUG
rnacentral:rRNA from 1 species